AAGCGGAGGAAAAGAAACUAACUAGGAUUCCCUUAGUAACGGCGAGUGAACCGGGAAAAGCUCAAAUUUGUAAUCUGGCUGUCUUCGAUAGUCCGAGUUGUAAUCUAUAGACGUGUUUUCCGUGCUGGACCGUAUCUAAGUCCCUUGGAACAGGGUAUCAAAGAGGGUGACAAUCCCGUGCUUGAUACGACCACCAGUGCUCUGUGAUACACGCUCUACGAGUCGAGUUGUUUGGGAAUGCAGCUCAAAAUGGGUGGUAAAUUCCAUCUAAAGCUAAAUAUUGGCGAGAGACCGAUAGCGAACAAGUACCGUGAGGGAAAGAUGAAAAGCACUUUGGAAAGAGAGUUAAACAGUACGUGAAAUUGUUGAAAGGGAAACGAUUGAAGUCAGUCGUGUUCUUUGGAUUCAGCUAGUUCUUCUAGUCUACUUCCAUUGAACGGGUCAACAUCAGUUUUGUCCGGUGGAUAAAGAUAGUAGGAAUGUAGCUCCCCCGGGAGUGUUAUAGACUAUUAUUGCAUACACUGGGUGAGACUGAGGACUGCAGCUCGCCUUUU
rnacentral:rRNA from 1 species